GAUUUGGGGGUGCUGGGUGGGAUGGGACACCGCGGGGAUUUGGGGCCAGGUGUGGGACCCUGCCCUGAGCCCCGCUCUGCCCGCAGGACGGCGGGGGGGAGCUGAUCUUCUACGAGCGUCCUGACACUGCCGGCCCCAAACUGUCCCAGUUCAGCAUCACCCCCACGGCUGACCCAGAUGGGCUGGAGGCGGUGCUGAGGCGGGCGCUGGGGGCGCUGGGCACGGUGAGGAAGCAGAGGUUGCUUUAUAUGGUGGGCCAGACCCGAGUGCAUCUGGACAGCGUGGAGGGUUUGGGAGACUUCCUGGAGCUGGAGGUGGUGCUGAGCGAGGGGCAGAGCCUGGAGCAGGGUGAGCGUUUGGCCCGCGAGCUGAUGGCGAAGUUGGGGGUGAGGGAUGAAGAUCUGGUGAGCGGGGCGUACCUGGACCUGCUGUUGGCCCGGGGGGGGG